CCUACGGGAGGCUGCAGUGAGGAAUAUUGGUCAAUGGGCGAGAGCCUGAACCAGCCAAGUCGCGUGAAGGAUGAAGGAUCUAUGGUUUGUAAACUUCUUUUAUAUGGGAAUAAAGUGAGGAACGUGUUCCUUUUUGUAUGUACCAUAUGAAUAAGCAUCGGCUAACUCCGUGCCAGCAGCCGCGGUAAUACGGAGGAUGCGAGCGUUAUCCGGAUUUAUUGGGUUUAAAGGGAGCGUAGGUGGAUUGUUAAGUCAGUUGUGAAAGUUUGCGGCUCAACCGUAAAAUUGCAGUUGAAACUGGCAGUCUUGAGUACAGUAGAGGUGGGCGGAAUUCGUGGUGUAGCGGUGAAAUGCUUAGAUAUCACGAAGAACUCCGAUUGCGAAGGCAGCUUACUGGACUGCAACUGACACUGAGGCUCGAAAGUGUGGGUAUCAAACAGGAUUAGAUACCCCAGUAGUC
rnacentral:rRNA from 1 species